rnacentral:tRNA from 1 species
UGGUUUAGUGGUAGAAUGCUGGAUUCUUAAUUCCAGUGGUUAGGGUUCGAUCCCUUA